rnacentral:lncRNA from 1 species
UCUGGACGUCAAAAACCAUUGCUAGAUAAUAUCUCGAUUAGUGCAGAAAUCGAUUCUUGUGCUACCGGCUUAGUGUUUGAACCCACGGAGUCACAUACACAAGUCAGACAUCGUAGGAAAGUAUUGGCCUAUGUUUAUGUAUCCAAUUUGAAAGUACUUGGCUUGAUUGAAUAUAUAAGCUAACUUGAUUGAGAAUUAAGUUAUGGGUCAAACGGAAUUGAAGAGUUGACUAUGUCUAGCUAGCACUACAUAUGAGGUUCGGAUUCGAUCUCGUGGAUGAAUAGUUUCUAAUCUAUGAUCCAUGGAGCAUAUGAAAGAUUGAAUUUAAGUACUAAUUAAUUUUAAAUUAGAUCUAAAUUAAUUAGGCUUGAUUGGAUCUAAAAUUUUAAGUUAGAUUUGGUACAAAAGUCUGAAAGAGUUUGGAAUUAACAGUCUUUCAAAAUUAUUUUGAACUAGCUUCGAAUUAUAUUCGAAUCAGAUCCCUUUUGGAUGAGAUAUGAGAAAUCCUACUUGUACUAGGAUUCUCCUCUCUUAUGGGCCAACCAACACCUAGAAACUUUCUCGUUGUGGCAUCCCAUGUGGAUGAGAGAUUGGGUGCAAUAUAGUUGUCAUAUGU